AACGAACGCUGGCGGCAUGCCUAACACAUGCAAGUCGAACGAGACCUUCGGGUCUAGUGGCGCACGGGUGCGUACCGCGUGGGAACCUGCCCUUAGGUUCGGAAUAACUCCCCGAAAGGGGUGCUAAUACCGGAUAAUGUCUUCGGACCAAAGAUUUAUCGCCUUUGGAUGGGCCCGCGUUGGAUUAGCUAGUUGGUAGGGUAAAAGCCUACCAAGGCGACGAUCCAUAGCUGGUCUGAGAGGAGGAUCAGCCACACUGGGACUGAGACCCGGCCCAGACUGCUACGGGAGGCAGCAGUGGGGAAUAUUGGACAAUGGGCGAAAGCGUGAUCCAGCAACGCCGCGUGAGUGAUGAAGGCCUUAGGGUUGUAAAGCUCUUUUACCCGGGAUGAUAAUGACAGUACCGGGAGAAUAAGCUCCGGCUAACUCCGUG
rnacentral:rRNA from 1 species